CUUUCGCCGGGGCUUGUUUUCCGUUGCCUGUGGUUUGUUUCAGUGACUCAGGCAGCGAAAGCAAGUCUGGGAGGCUG
rnacentral:pre_miRNA from 1 species